CUGUGUCAUGUUUCAGUGUGAGUCAGGAGAUUAACGCAGUUUCUUUCUUUCCUAGACCUUAUGCCGUCAGAACCAAGACAUCUGUUCUCAUAUUUGAUGUCAAAAUGGCCCUAAGCCUCAUCUCCACAGGACCAGACUUUGUAUCCUACAAAGGUACCACUUACUGUCUACCUGAUAAGUGAUGCAAUAGGCGGCGAGUUGAGCUCUGUAACUGAGCAAGAAAUUGAAUACGCUGCUAUCCGUGAAACUGCUGGCCAGGUAAGAGAAUAUCAUUUGAAUUUUACCUGUAUAUAGUGUUUUUCUCACUAGCAAACAAGAAACCUUUGAGCAUAACUAUGAAGCCAGUCUUUCUCCCUCCUUACGCAACAUAAAUAAUUAAUCUGUAUCAUCAAAAAGCUGGUGGGAAGGGGAGUAAGGAGUAUUUUA
rnacentral:lncRNA from 1 species